GACGAACGCUGGCGGCGUGCCUAAUACAUGCAAGUAGAACGCACAGUUUAUACCGUAGCUUGCUACACCAUAGACUGUGAGUUGCGAACGGGUGAGUAACGCGUAGGUAACCUGCCUGGUAGCGGGGGAUAACUAUUGGAAACGAUAGCUAAUACCGCAUAAUAUUAAUUAUUGCAUGAUAAUUAAUUGAAAGGUGCAAUUGCACCACUACCAGAUGGACCUGCGUUGUAUUAGCUAGUAGGUGAGGUAACGGCUCACCUAGGCGACGAUACAUAGCCGACCUGAGAGGGUGAUCGGCCACACUGGGACUGAGACACGGCCCAGACUCCUACGGGAGGCAGCAGUAGGGAAUCUUCGGCAAUGGACGAAAGUCUGACCGAGCAACGCCGCGUGAGUGAAGAAGGUUGUCGGAUCGUAAAGCUCUGUUGUAAGAGAAGAACGGGUGUGAGAGUGGAAAGUUCACACUGUGACGGUAGCUGACCAGAAAGGGACGGCUAACUACGUG
rnacentral:rRNA from 1 species